GCUUGCUCUGUCUGAUCAGUGGCGAACGGGUGAGUAACACGUGAGUAACCUGCCCCCGACUCUGGAAUAACCGUGGGAAACGACGGCUAAUACCGGAUAUGAGACGCACGGGCAUCUGUGUGUCUGGAAAGAUUUAUCGGUCAGGGAUGGACUCGCGGCCUAUCAGCUUGUUGGUGGGGUAAUGGCCUACCAAGGCGACGACGGGUAGCCGGCCUGAGAGGGCGACCGGCCACACUGGGACUGAGAUACGGCCCAGACUCCUACGGGAGGCAGCAGUGGGGAAUAUUGCACAAUGGGCGCAAGCCUGAUGCAGCGACGCCGCGUGAGGGAUGAAGGCCUUCGGGUUGUAAACCUCUUUCAGCAGGGAAGAAGCGAAAGUGACGGUACCUGCAGAAGAAGCGCCGGCUAACUACGUGCCAGCAGCCGCGGUAAUACGUAGGGCGCAAGCGUUGUCCGGAAUUAUUGGGCGUAAAGAGCUCGUAGGCGGUUUGUCGCGUCUGCUGUGAAAACCUGAGGCUCAACCUCGGGCUUGCAGUGGGUACGGGCAGACUAGAGUGCGGUAGGGGUGACUGGAAUUCCUGGUGUAGCGGUGGAAUGCGCAGAUAUCAGGAGGAACACCGAUGGCGAAGGCAGGUCACUGGGCCGCAACUGACGCUGAGGAGCGAAAGCAUGGGGAGCGAACAGGAUUAGAUACCCUGGUAGUCCAUGCCGUAAACGUUGGGCACUAGGUGUGGGGCUCAUUCCACGAGUUCCGUGCCGCAGCAAACGCAUUAAGUGCCCCGCCUGGGGAGUACGGCCGCAAGGCUAAAACUCAAAGAAAUUGACGGGGGCCCGCACAAGCGGCGGAGCAUGCGGAUUAAUUCGAUGCAACGCGAAGAACCUUACCAAGGCUUGACAUACACCGGAAAAGUGCAGAGAUGUGCUCCCCGCAAGGUCG
rnacentral:rRNA from 1 species